rnacentral:lncRNA from 1 species
GAAAUUCUGACUUGAAGUACUGCUGCUGUGAUUGUUGGACACGCUUGCUAUUUGCUGAGUUUCUAUUGAAUUUUGUUCUUGGAUUCUGUGGGCUAGCUGCUGUGGUUUUUUGUGUUCGAAGUCUUCAUGGAGGUCGAAGAAGGUUCGAUUAACUUUCCAAUGAGCUGUAGAAUGCCCUAAUUGGACUUCAUUUAAUAUGGUUUUUGCCUGUCCAAAGUUAGGUCCAGAAUCUGCCAAAUAUUUGUUUUUCUGUUUCGGAUCACCUUCUGUGUAAACCGCUUGAUAUGAACUGGUAGAUGAUGUUAUUAGGACUUAAUGUCUUCUAGAUAUUUGUAAUAGACUUCUCAAGCUUUCCAUAGACAUAUCAUAUGUGCGAUUUGGCCAUCAUUUGCCCUGCUUGAUGCUUCUUGCAAAAAGCACUAAUCUGCUGAUGUGUUCUGCUUGUUAUGAUCUGAUCUGACCACUUAUACUAAUGGCUUUGCUUGAGCUAGAAAAAGACCUAAAUUGCAAUUGUCACCUAAUAGGAAUUCGUAAAGGACACCUUGAGCUUUCUAACGAUGCCUAGUUUGUCCAAUUUGCCCAUCAUUUGCCCUGUUUUCUUUUUUUUAGAUCAAGUUUUUGAAGUCUGAAUUUGUCUUGACCUGCAGUGCUGUCUUGUCUCUAUGAACCUGACUGUCUACCAAUUUUGUGGGAUCUUAUACAUAAUGAUCUUGAGGAUAAAUUCUCAAUGAAAGCUGUCCAUAAUAUCCAUAUCCAUCCCAUGCUAAAAUUUCAGAAUUUUUAAGGUCAAGUAACCUUAGAAUUCAAGUCGACAUGUAUCAAUUUAAAUUGUUAUGCAUUUUGCUCCUAAUGACAAGUCACAUAUCAAUGUUAAUGGAUUUGUGUGACCUUUUGCACAUGGAUUUAGGGUUAAAUGUCUAAAUCAAACUUUUUCUUCACAUUUAACCCUACGUCAUGUUCAAAUUUCAUGAUUUUCAUGCAUUGAUUAGGUGGCUUAACAAAUAAGUUAUCAUGCAUCAUUCUGUGAUUUGCUUAUGAUUGAUUUGCAUGCUUUAGCAAUUGUUGCUUUUCGGCCAUGAAUUUGACUUUACUUGAACUUGAUACGCCUCAGGAAAUUCCAUUCAUGAAAGUUGCUCUUUAUAAAGUGCUUGAUUUCUGUGCUUUUUUCUUAGAGCCAAUCAUACAUGGGUUCUACCCCAAUUGCUUUGAUCUUAGUUGUGAUGAUUGUUUCUUU